AUGUCAUAAAGCUGCGCUGGUGCAUCUGUUGUGAUUCAGCUGAGGAAAGAUGGCACUUAUUAAAGAGGAGAGUGAAGACAUGAAGACUGCAGAAGUAUUCAGUCUGAAACAAGAAGAUACUGAGGAACAAACGGUGUGGAAAGAGUUUCAAUCGAAAAGGAAACCUUGAGGUCCACAUGAGGAUUCACACUGGAGGAAAACCUUACACCUACCAACAGUGUGGAAAGAGUUUCACUGUCAAAGAAACCCUAAAAUUUCACAUGAGAGUUCACACUGGAGAGAAGCCUUACACCUGUCAACAGUGUGGAAAGACUUUCAUUCAAAAACGAAACCUUAAGGUCCACAUGAGGAUUCACACUGGAGAGAAACCUUACACCUGCCAACAGUGUGGAAAGAGUUUCACUCAAAAACAAAACCUUGAAGUCCACAUGAAGAUUCAUAUUGGAGAGAGACAUUUUAUCUGUAAUCAAUGUGGAAAGAGUUUCAUUCGAAAAGAUGUCCUUAAAGUCCACAUGAGACUUCACUCUGGAGAGAAGCCUUACACUUGCACUCAAUGUGGGAAGAGUUUUACCCAUAAAAAUUGCUUUAAUUACCACAUGAGACGUUACACGGGAUGGAAACUCUUAACGUGAUUGUGAAAAGAGCUUUACGACAGAGCUAAGCCGUAGAUACCACAAGACCAUUCACAUUGGAGUGAAACCCUUCAUAUGUGGUCAAUGUGGAAGGAGUUUCAUAUGUAAAGUAAGCCUUAAUUACCACGUGAGGACUCGUUCAAGAGACAAUGUGGAAAGAGUUUUAGUCAUAAAUGUAACCUAGUCAUAAUGUAAAGUUCACAUGAGAGUUCACACUAGAUAGAAUUCCUUCACCUGCAUAUCUGAGUGAACGUUCACACCGCUUCUGAAUGUGGGCCAAAUCUGAUUCAAAUCCAAAUCUGAAAUGCAACACUGUGUAACUGAAUGAUAUUUUUUA